CCUGGAUAUUCCGGUUACGAUGUAUUAUUCGUUUUUAAUAAGGGAAAUAACUCUGUCACAAUGUGCCAUGGACUGCGCGAAACUUACCGGAUGUAAAUUGUUCCACUUUAGUUCCAACUCAUGUUAUGUUCUCAAUAUGCUAACCACUGGGAUAGGAUCUGUGAAGUUAAACAGUAUCCAUGUCGAUGAACAACUGAAAGAAACCUGUCAAUCAAAGCAAUAUACUCCACUUCUAGAUGGAAUAUUUUGUAUUGAUAUGUCAACUUAUAAAAGAACUUGGCCUGACGCUGAAGCGGUUUGUAACGAUACGGGAGGUCGACUUCUGAUCAUGACAAAUGUUGAACUUAGUCUUAAAUGGGAGCCGAUAAAAGCCAUGACAACAAAUGAGUUUUGGAUCGGGGGAAAUGACGAAGCUAAAGAGGGUAGCUGGGUAUGGUCAGAUGGAUCAAGUGUAACCGGAAGUGGUUGGAUAUCUGGCCAACCAGAUAAUUAUUUGGGCAAUGAAGACUGUCU